rnacentral:lncRNA from 1 species
UGUUUAUCCUCUGUCCCCUCCCCUGCUCUUACUACAAUGUAAGCUGCAACUUAAUUUCCAACUGAGUUUUACACCCCCACUACCUAGGAUAAUGCCCCGUUUAUUGGAGAUGCCAAUACAUGUGUGUGUGUGUGUGGGGGGGGAGACAGCAAACAAGUUAUGUGGUCAUGCGAGCCUGUAACCCAGAGGCUGAGGCGAAGAUUGCAGCACAUUUAAAACCACCUUGGAUUACACAUGAAACGCUUAAAAGCAACAACAACAGCCAUCCCAACCAAAGAAAACUAAAACAACUCCCCACACAAAGAAGUAAGAAGAGUGAGAAUAACCGGAGUUGGUCGGUCGGGAGGUACACCUCCCAUAAUCCUAGUACCCAAAGGGGAAGAAAGGCAGGCAUAGAGGCUGAGGCUGGAAAGGAGGCCUGCUAAGGCAGUCGAAGCUACAGGGUGAGUUUCAGGAACAGAGGGGUGUGGGGGUGGAGGGGAUGGUACACUAGGACGAGGAAAGCAAGCAAGCAAGAAGAAAAAAAUAAAAACAACAACAAAACCCCCAGCACAUUAACAGAAGGAGCACAGUAAAUAUUUGUUAUGUUGAAUUAAAAGUGUCAGAAACAGGGCACACCUUUCCCAGCUCUAAGAAUAAGGCAGUUGAAGAGAUUGGUGAUGUGGGUGAAAGUUGUCUGUUGUAUGAGUUUGUGGUGGUGGAAGG